rnacentral:rRNA from 1 species
AUGGGCUCGCCCGCCCCCGCCGCGCAGCCCGGCCAGGAGGAGAACAAGACCAUCUGGGUCGGCGACCUCCAUUACUGGAUGGACGAGAACUACCUCCACACCUGCUUCGGCUACACCGGCGAGGUUGUCGCAAUCAAGGUUAUUCGUAAUAAGCAAACCGGACAAUCAGAAGGAUAUGGAUUUGUAGAGUUCUACAGUCAUGCUGCAGCUGAAAAAGUGCUUGAUGGUUUUGCUGGGCAUAUAAUGCCAAAUACUGACCAACCUUUUAGGAUAAACUGGGCAUCAUUUAGCAUGGGGGAUAGGCGUUCGGACAUUGCUUCAGAUCAUUCCAUAUUUGUAGGCGAUCUUGCCUCUGAUGUCAAUGAUACUGCAUUGCUAGAGACUUUCUCCAGCAGGUACUCCUCUGUCAAAGGUGCAAAAGUUGUUAUUGAUGCUAACACUGGUAGAUCCAAGGGCUAUGGCUUUGUGCGGUUUGGAGAUGAUAGUGAGAAGACAAACGCCAUGACCGAGAUGAAUGGAGUGUAUUGCUCAACUAGGCCCAUGAGGAUUGGCCCUGCAACUCCCAGAAAAUCUUCAGGUACUUCUGGAUCUACUGGUUCAUCUGCUCGAUCAGACGGAGAUUUGACAAACACAACUGUAUUUGUCGGUGGGCUUGACCCAAAUGUUAGUGAAGAUGAUCUUAAGCAAACCUUCACCCAGUAUGGUGAGAUUUCCUCUGUGAAGAUUCCCGUUGGGAAACAGUGUGGGUUCGUGCAGUUUCUUCAGAGAAAGAAUGCAGAAGAUGCAUUGCAAGGGCUAAAUGGGAGCACCAUCGGGAAACAGACCGUGCGCCUUUCAUGGGGUCGCAAUCCAGCAAACAAGCAGUUGAGGAGUGACAACGGCAACCAGUGGAACAACGGGAUGUACUACGCGCCCUCGCCGUUCUACAACGGGUACGGCUACCCCGCGGCACCGUUCCCUGACCCGGGCAUGUACGCCGCUGCCUAUGGCGCCUACCCGGUCUACGGGAACCAGCAACAGGUCAGCUGA